rnacentral:lncRNA from 1 species
GUAGUGGAUAAGUAUGGCCUGGUACAGGGUAACCGCACGCCCCCUCGUGUUGAGAACCAGCGUUUGUGCGGCCACUUACCAAGACCCUGAUGCAGCUUAUAUGGAAGCAAGAGCAGAUGAAUGCUGAGAUGUAUCCAGUACUAGAAACAAGGUAAGAGUAGAAUAGGCACCAAACAAGAAAACAAGACAAAACUAGUAGAACCCAGAACCAGAGAAGGAUAGAAAGUAAAACCCAGAACAUGUACACAAUACAUAAGGGAAACAUUAACAGAACAGGGGCAGGACAUGGACUGGGAAUACAAAAUAAAACAAGACAAGAUAUAAUAGGCAAAACAAGAGGAGACAUAACUCUUAUAGUACUAUAAGUACUAUAUAUGUAAAACAUUGGAGAUUUAGACAUACAUAAAUGGCCAAGAUGUAUGCAGCCCACCACUGCGUCAAAGUACUCCAAGUACGGUGGGUCCUAUCUACCUAGAUAUGCAGGACUAAAUAAACAAUAAUAAAACACACACAGAACUUACCUGCAAGAAAGGGGCAGAGGACUUGGAACAACUGCCUGCAGAAACCAACUGAAACAAAAGGAUUAAUGGAAAAGGAAAGGGUGUGGCAACAUAAAACAAACAUUUAAAGGAAUCCAAGAGACUGGGCAUUCCAGGAACGGAAUACAGGAAUGAACCCAGAAAACCCAGCAUCAAGAAAACCAGACAUAGAAUAGAAAACCAGAAAAACCAAGAAAAACUAAACAAGAAUUGUAAAAAGAGUACUGGAUACCAGAAGCCAAGGCCAGACCUGAACAAGACAGAGCAGAGCAGUUCCUGACACUAUUAUCCUGAACUCACAAAGCUACAGCCUGUACUACCUUACUCUGUAUUCAUUAUCCCUACCAGAACUACCAGAUUUUCAUAUACAGACAUUAUAGCUACAUUCAGGAUAAUUGUUUUGUAAAUAUGUACAUUAUUAUUUCUGUUUGAAUUUCCUUUUCCUUUUCUUUUUGUCGUGGUGACUUAUUUCACCUCUUAAUCGCUAUAUUAAAAGUUAAGUUUGAUUUUUAGAAACACCUAGCCUAAUUGGUUGAUAUUUGCCAUCCCACCAGCAAUAAAGUUAUUAUUUCUCGCUCUCUCCUGGCAGUUCUCUUUUUUCUCAUUUAUUCCAUGGUGACUAGUCUCACUAGGGGAUAUUCCCCACUUCAGGAGGUUAAUAAUUACAUUACCUUUCUUUACUCUUUCAUUGUCUUGUUUGUAUAUAUUCUAAUUAUUUUGCUUUCAUGCUUUUAGCAAAUUUGGAGCCUAAGCUCACAGAUGAUGAUCACGCCUUCUUAUAGUCCCUGUUACUCAUGCUAAAGUCAAAACAUCUUUGACUCUAAAUCCAGGGACUACUGUAAUUAGUAGAGAAGACUGCCAUCCAUCACUGUCCCUCUUACUCUAUUAAGUGUUAUAAUAUAUAUUUAGAUCCCAUUUAAUAUGCUUGUGCUGCAUUACAUUUGGCUGUCUGCAUAGGCAUUCAAUCAGAAUACAGAAGUAGAGGCGACUGGAAUCUGCAACGCUAUUUAAACAUUCAACAUUAAAAUAAGGUUUCAUUUUAUUGAUACUGGUCAUAGAUCAUCUCCUCAUUUCUUAUUGGUGGGAUUAAUCAACAAACUAUUAGGGCCAUCAUAGGGAUUAGGAAACACCUGGUCCUUUAAUAUGGGUCAGAUAUUGGUAAAUGUGAGUUUUCAACAAGGACUGUAAGUAAUAUCAUUUAUGUGUGUGCUAUGGGUAGGGUGAGUUCCCAGAAAUUACACAGUUUUCAACAAUACAUCAAAUGCAGUUCUUUAUUUAAAACAUCCAUUAAAUAAACAAAAAGAUCAAUAAAGUGGCAAUCAAAUUGUCCAAUCAACAUUAUUACAGUAGCUUUCAUUUAGGAAAUGUAAACACACAUAUCACAGGAAGAGGCCGAUUUGAUGAACAAGUCACACAAUUACAUUGGGCAUACAGCUAAUAUAUGGAAUAUAUACAUUAUGGCUGCAAAGGCAUUUUGAAGGCAGCCAUUGGCUAAUGGAUCUAUUUUUGUUGCUGUAUUUUUAACAUUAAGAGAGGUAACUCCCCGUGAAUACAAAUGUUAAAGCACAGACGAUGGAAAAGGAUGUAUUUUAUUAAUACAGUGUUGGCUGCAUGUCCCCCGGCAGUGUAGAGGAUAGAGAUUCACACUAAUACUAUACAAGAAAUGGGGCAUCAUUUUGCAUGGUAUUGGUAAGCGGAACACUGAAGGUGGAUUAAUAGGAGACUGUAGGCUUCUUACUCUUUGACAGAAUGUUCAUUGGACCCACAUAAUUAUUACACCACCCCUGAAUGCAAAAGCAAUGUUGUGUUUAUAUUAUGAAGGACAAAAUAGGAGAAAGGUCUAGGUACUCCAAGGUACAAACCAGGCAAUUUUAUUGAACCCACUCCAUGACAACGUUUCGACCUACACGGUCUUUGUCAAUCUUUUGUAGGUCGAAACGUUGUGAUGGAGUGGGUUCAAUAAAAUUGCCUGGUUUGCACCUUGGAGUGCUUGGACCUUUCUUCUAUUUUGUUACUCAGCAUUUGGUCUCUGGUACUGAGACUGUCCGAGUUGCACCCAGCUACAUACUACUUAAAGGGAUAGAGUGCAGUUCCACACCCUACCAUAUAUAUUAUGAAGGGCAUGAGGACAUAGAGGGUCUAGUAAUUUUUCCCAUGUAAAUAUGAGGCCCUUUUAAAUAAUGGAGAACCUGGGAUAAGCAUUUAAACAUUGAUUAUUUAUUUAUUUAAUUGAUAUUUAAGGAAUUGUUUAGGAUUCCAUUUCUGAGCUCUUUAGGGCUUAUUCAGAGCAAUUUGUGAUUAAUUCACACAGGCUUCUAUUAAGAGCUCAUAAUGAUGUAGUCCGGAAGGUGGUAGAACAUUUUGUGAUCUACCUCAGAAUAUUGGGGGAGGUGAAUUUAAAGGUGUGUCUCUAUGCAAAGUUUUUUUUUUUUUUUUUAUGGGUGCAUUGUUCAUUGUUGAAUUGUAGUUGUUAUGUAGUGAGCUGUAAUGGUUAUGGUACUUUUAGCCCUUUUAGAGCAGAUUUAAAUGCCAGUUUAAACCCUGCACUUGACUGCUCGUUUGUCACUUCUACCUAUGAACCAUUCUCUACCAUAAUAUAAACACAAUAUUGCUUUUGCAUUUAGAAUAGAUAGGUUAGAAACAGUACAAAUCAAAGAACAUUUUUCUGAAAAAUGUUUUAAAUGUUGGUAACCCUAUAUACUGGCACUUCACCAAACAUUCCAACAAAAAUAAAAUCUACUUUAGAAUUAACUCCUUUAUAUAAACAUAUGAUUCACCUUCCAUUCCAUAAAAUGGCCUCUACAUCUAUUACACUCCACUAACCUGGUAUUAUAUUAGCAUAGCUAUUGUAACGCUCUCUAUACUUUUUUCAUUCUACAAACUGGUCUCCCCGUUUAUUCCCUGUUUGCAUGUAAAUGGCAAUUAUUGAGGUUUCUUUUUUUUUUUUUUUUUUACAAAUUUGACAAUUUUAUUGAGUUAAACAAAACAGCAAUGAUAUUCAGAAAUUAACAUUUUCAAGAAACAAUUUUUUUAUUUUUUUUUGCAGUGCAAAGAAAAAUAACAGCAUGCGUGUGGUACCCCGACGGCAUGGUUUACAUCAGGGUAUUCAAGG